AUUGUACAUGCUCUGUUUUCAGUUAACUUUAUCCAUCAAGUGCUGAAAAGCUUGUUUUUGUCACUACUUUCACAUCUUUGCCGGGUCGGAUUAAAGGAAAAGGAGAUGGAUUUCAGUGGAGAUGAAGAUCAGGCAUAGGUCGUGGCUAUCGAAGGGGACUUCUACCAUCUGAGUACCCAUGCUUCUUGAAUAUGCCAAGUGUGAAAGAUUGAGAAAUUGAAAGCUGAAGCUACCAUGGAAAGGAAUGACUGUGCAUCUCUUAUAGAGGGGAUGGAAGAUCAAGCAAAUGAUGAAAAGUGCUACCCAAUGCUGGUUGUUCUGGCAUAUCUUCUGCCACCGUUGCCUGGAAGUCGCUGCAGUGUUAAAUAUGAAAUUUCAUUCCUUCCAAUUUCCAUUUCGCCUGGAGCCAUAUUGCAUCCCUCUGCAGCAGUUUUGAGACCGCAUCAAAGACCAGACCACAGCCAGUCUACAUUGAGAGUUUGAAGAGCACAACAUGACAAUACAUCAUUGCGACGAUUGACAAAAU